rnacentral:lncRNA from 1 species
UUGGAUAUCAUACAAGUCCCCGAACCUUUGAACGCCAUCAUAAUCUCCACGAAUGUAUGAUAGGUGACGAAGAUUUCUGGAAAAACAUUGUUGCUUGUUAACCUCCGAGGUAUACUCCAGUGUGAAGUAUGUCUCCCCUGCAGCCCAACGGGCAAGGUCGUUGAUAAGAUCGUGCAUAACAAAUAGUGAUGCAUCGGUGGCCGAUUGCUGCAAAAAAGAUCUUGAACGUAGCUCCUUAAAGAAAUCACGACCUAAAUCUUCACUAGGAUUCUCAUCUUCUUUGUGAUCCAAAAAACCGGAGGCACACCAUAAUAAAAUUAUCUCCUCCUCUUCAAAUUCAUAAUCCUUUGGAAACAAUGAGCAGUAUGCAAAGCAUUGUUUCAAAGUUGGAGGAAGAUAAUAAUAGCUCACUGCAAGGGCUGGUAUAAUGCCACACCUCUUUUCUGAUAAUUCCCAUAUCUUGCUACAGAGCACACGUUCCCACUCACGUCUGUCAUGUUUUCCACGUAAAAGUCCUCCAAGUGUUUGUGCUGCCAAGGGCAAGCCAUCGCAUUUGGUCACUAUCUUCUUGCCGAUUUCCUCCAAUAACUUAUGUGACCCCAAAGAAUGUUGAGCGAAUACAGCCAGACAAUCAUUAUCUGACAACUUUUUUAAUUGAUAAGAUGGAACAGUACCCAUGAUUUCUGCAACCUCUUGAUUGCGAGUAGUGACAAUAAUUUUACUUCCUGGUGCACCAACUUCAAAUGGACGUCUGAGUUGAACCCAAUCAUCGUAAUUCCGGUUCCACACGUCAUCCAAAACAAGCAAAAAUUUCUUUCCAGACAGUUGCUUACUCAGUUCCUUUUGAAGUGAAUUCAAGCUGGGAUCACCCACGUUCUGGCUAGCAACAAUGGAUGUUAAGAUUGUUUUUGUUAGCCUCUUAACGUCGAAAUCAUCAGAGACACAAGUCCAUGCCUUGAGAUCAAAAUGAUCCUGCACUUGCUUAUCAUUGUAGACAAGCUGAGCAAGAGUGGUUUUGCCCAGCCCGCCCAUACCUAUAAUAGGAAUAACAGAGAAUCCACCAUCGUUGCUUAAAUCAUCCCUCAACAGCAGUUCAACAACAUCCUUCUUUUCUGUUUCCCUGCCAUAUACUUUGGCUUCAUCCACCAAAGAGGUUGUCUCUGGCCUUUGACUGGCUUUUUUGGAUCCCCCAGCUGAACUUUCUUUCAAAUCUAGCAAGUUUUUCUUUGUCACAAUUUCUUGAAAUCUGCUGUCGAUCUCUUUGAUUUUGGACAUCAAGUCAUAAUCGAACUGAGUCGAUUGUGGAGUAAAAAUGGUGAAGCAAGUAUGAAUGAACUUCCGAAGCUUACUUGGUCUCGUAUGACUGCUACUGGGUUGAUCAUGAGCAGCAGCUGGUUCUCCAUUUCCAAGCGGCAACCUCCUCCGGAAAGCCUCGGUUUGAAACUCAUCCAACAAGUCUUCAACAUCAUAAGCCAAGUUCUGAAGCUCGCCAAGCCACAAAUUCACAGACGGAGCCGUCCUCCUCUUCUCCUCAGCAUCAUCAAGCACUGCCUUGAUCAUCUCCAACAUAUUCGCCCACCUCAUCAGAUCGGCCUCGAUCUCCUUUUGGCGUGCAAAAAACAGAACCCCCUCUGAAGCUAACUUAUUGACCAGCAAAUCAACGGACGCCGUAAGGAUUGCCUCUCCGAUCAUUGACAUUUUUUUUUCCUUUUUUGGGGCAAAGGAAGAAAGGAGCAGAAUUAUGCGUUAUGGAAAGCAGAAUGAGAAAUUUGAACGGGUGAGAAAAUGGAUAAUUAAGCAGAAUGAGUUUGUGAUUGUGAAGGGUCUGGCCCAACAAGCUUAGUAGAAAUCACGCGUUUAUACUUUAUUGACCAAUGACUAAUAAUUUGCCAAUUCACUCAUCACCACCACUUGGUGAGCAAAAUGAAAAUGCUUAGUAAUUAAACGUGGCAAGUCUCCCCACUUGUUGUUCCUUGCAGCUAAGAAAAGAAAAAACAGAGCCGUAAUUAAUGACAGAAUUUUAAAAAUAAUAAUAAGAGAAAAACCUACACAUUUUCGACUUAGAGUGGAACCGUAAUUAAUGCUAAAAUUUACUCAGCUAAAAUUUUCAAAAUAUUGUUCUUUAUAAUUUUCAAAACCGUAAUUAAGGUUCAUCUCAAAUGUUUGAAGAGACUCUAUCAAUUCUUCUGCGCUAAGAAUAUUAAAAUUCUUAUUUUUUCUUCAAACGUUGAAUAAUGAAAAAAAAUGUUAAAUAUGGAGAAAAAUAGAAUGCAUCCAUCUUUGCUGUAGAAGUCUUCUACUUAUAAAAGCAAGUUAGAAUAAACGAUUUUAAUCUCUCUUUUUAUUCCUGUAAGUGCACUACAUUUUUUUUGUUUUAAUCUCAAUGUGAAGUCGUAUCAUAAUGUUAUGUUAAUGUUAUAUUCUUGUUGGAAAAUGAAAUUUUAGAUAAAACAAAUUCGACUCAUUUGUUGAAGGUAUAUAUUUAGUAGGUUGCUAACAUAAAGUAAAUGAACUAAAAGACAAUACUACCAGCGAUAAUUUAGCAAGUUUCGCAUGCUCGUCUUUCUUGAAAUAUUAUAUGGGAAUGGGAUCAAACAACAGUGAUACAAAGAGAAAAAUGGUAAUCCUCUGAUUGUAUUUUUUUUUUCUUUUUCAAAAGAGAUGGUGGGGUUGGGUUGUUUGCAAAGUUAUUAGUGUGGGUCUAUUUAAAAUGUUAAGAAAUUUUAUGUCCUUUUUUCAAAGUGAAUUUCCAUUUUUCAUUUCUCAUUAAGUAAAACCCACAGCAAAAUUAAAAAGAAAAAACAGAGCCCACUAUAAAUAUAAAAUCGAAGGAGCUCAUAAUUAUACCUUUGCUUUACAUACUAAAUUAAAUAAAAGCCGAACCAAGAAUCUUGCCUUUACUUAACAUGAUUAAUUAGACACUACUUCAGAGAGAAUACGAAAGCAAAGAACCCUUUUGUUAAUCUUAAAUGUUAGGAAAAUAAUUAGCUUGGAAUAAAGCUGCGUUAUUCUCCUCUUACCGUCUCUUCAGGUUCAUUUCAAAAGUUUGAAGAGAUUUUAUCAAUUCUUCUUAUAAAGGCAAGCUAAAUUAAAAGAUUUUAAUCUCUCUUCUUAUUACUAUAAGUGCACUGCUUUUUUUUUAUAAUCAACAAUGUCAAUUUGUAGUGUAAUAUUAUAUUCAUAUUCCUGUUGCGUCGAAAUAAGGUAAAAUGAAAUUUUAAAUCACACAAAUUCGACUCGUUUGUUAAAGGUAUAUAUUUAAUAAGCUAAUAACAUAAUUAACAUAACGCUAUUAUUACACUAAAUGAAAUAAAAGACGGUACCCUCCACCAAUAAUUACAUUAGCAAGCUUCGCAUGCUCGUGUUUCAGGACCUAGACAUUGGCGAAUUAAUCUAGGAUAACGAAACAAUUUCAAAAAGCAAAAUGGAUACUAUACAUUUUCUUUUUUUAAUUGUACAGAAAACGGGACUAAUUUUCAAAUAUUUUUAAAUUCACUUAUUUACAAAAGCUAUACAAAAUGAUUUCCUUUUUAUUUUUGAUGAGCAUAAUUUACAUACAUAUUUUACUAUUUAUUAUAUAAUUACUAGUUAUUUUUAUUUGUUAUUUUAAUUAAUUGAAUUAUUUUAUUUCAUAGGAAAUUAAUUGGAGAUUAUGGAUGAAAAGUGCGUAAAGAAUAACAAUUUGACAGCAUUGAAGAUCAAAUCAAUUUGCGGAAGGAAUUAAGCAAAUGUGCAAGAAAUUCUAUUCGAAGAAACCGAAGCCAAUAAAUUGAAUAUCCAUACUCGUGCAAACAAAGAAGAAGUUUAAAACUAAAGUGGGCAGCACAUUAAAAAAAGCUUUUAAUUAAGUCUUUGAAUGGAAAGUCAAAAUAGAAUAAAGGAAGGAAAUCAAUAGCUUUUGGCUUUUAUUGUUUUCAAUUACGUGGCAGGCUUAGAGCUUUAGCUUGUAAGAGUUGGUUUGGUUAUUAUCACAAUAGGAUUUGGUGGCCAAGCAAUAUAAAAGGGAGUUUUGCUUUUGAAUUAAAGGCUGGACGGAAACAAAAGGGAGGAGAAUUCGGCUUUGAACAGAGAGCAGCGGCAACGGCAAUAUUUCGGCUUCCAUGGCUGAAUUUAUUUCUUUUGUUGCUCACAAUUUAAGUAUGUCUAGCUAAUUUUCUUAUACUGAGGUUAAGGAUGAAACCCUAUUCAAUGAAAUAAUUAUCUUUUUAUUUAUUUAAUUCCCUAUAUAUGUGCUUUAAUGUUUAUGGUUUUUAUUUCACAUGAUUAAUUGGACGUUAUUAAAAUCUUUUCAUCAAUUCUGUCAUGCAUUAUUAAUUGUUAGGAUUAAUAUUCAAUUAAUUCUAUACUUGGAUCUAUAAAGUUUAUACAUGAUUAUCUUUGAUUUUAUGUCUUUCAUUAAAUUAUUUACAUAGAGUGCUUAGGAAAACUUUGACUCUUUGUUAUUUAAUAUGUUUACAUGAGAUGCUUACAUGUCAUACUAUUAAGUAGAAAAAGAACCUACAUUACAUUUAAUUUUAAUUGGGCUUAAUUGUUAUAUUUAUGAGAUGACAUAGAUUGAUUUUGAGUUGUCACUCUAAAAUUAGGGAUUCAUUAAUAUUUGGAUAAUUACAAAUUAAAUAGUGGUGGAUUCCGAAACCUUGAUAAUUUUUAUUUUAUUGAUUUCUCAUUUGCUUUAAUUGUUUUCUUAGUUUAAUAAGUUUAAUUUCUUUUAAAAAUUCAAAUUACUCAACUAAGUUAGGAUUAAUAUUAAUUUUAGAUUUAAAUUAGACUUUUCAAUUUAUAACAAUCCAUGUGGGAUUGACCUCGUUACUACUAUUCUAUUUCUAGAUUCAUGCGCUUGUAAGUAUAUUAAAACUUUCACAACAAUUUUGAAAGGAAUCAAAUAACAGUGAUACAAAGAGCGCAAAGUUGCAAUUCUCUUAUUAUAUUUUUUCUCUUUUUUAAAAGGAGAUAGUGGGGUUUGGUUGGUUGCUAAAUUAUUGGUGUGAGGGUCUAUUUGUUUUUGUUUUCACUUUAUUAAUUAUACCAAGCAAACAUGUAAUCAUUUGUAAAGGGGUCACUAGCAUUGGAUUAUGUAAGAUGAAUUCAUAAGACUUAUUAAUUUCGAUGAAAAUGUAGCGUUAUUAAGUUGUCAAUUCAUUAACUUGAGGUACUAAUAUUUACUAAUUGUGGUGAUUAAUUUAUUUAACUUGUCAUAAUUUUCAAUUGAGAAUGAAGUUCAAUCAAUGUAUGAAAAAAAUAAUUUUUUUAGAUUUUUAAUUCCUAUGAUUUAAUUUCCCCCUGUUUCGAUUAUUGACGUGUUAAAAGCUUGUAGAAUAUCAUGAAAUGCUUGUAUCUCACCUCGCAAAUUGACAAAUAUUGGUUGGUUUCUCCAAAGGCUACCAUAAUGAAUUGAAAGUAAAAACAACAACCAUUGAAAAUUAAUUUUAAAAUCAUUUUUACUUGAAAUUUUUUAAAAGAAAAAUUAAGCAAAUUAGAUUACAGAUAUCAAUCUUAAUAUUUUGUUGAUGAAAAUUAAUUAAUUUAUCUCAGUACUUUCUUAAUUUUGUGUUGUGCACCGCAUUGGUCACUUCUGAUUGUGUUGCAUAUUUGUUAAUUCAAAGAAAUAGAACUUCUUUAUCGAUCAAACUUAUUUUAUUAGUAUUCUUCAUCAUAUGGUUAAUGGCUUAGCCAAUGAAGGAGAAGGGGUCAGCCAAAACAAAUAAAGUACUUUCUCAUGCAUUAACCUUUAUUAAAAAGCUUUAUUAACUGUUGUAGUUAAAAUAAUUUUAAAACAAGUUAAAACAGUUCCAACUCAAAAUCAGUAGGCUGCAAUUGGGUUGUUACACAUAUUUCUAAAUUUCAGUCUAAUUUAAUUGUGUAUGGACAAACUAACUUUAUCACUUCUUUCAUAUUAAUACUCAUAAAUUUCAACCUUUUUUUAUGAUGAUGGACAAUCUAACUUAACAAAAAUAAUGUUCAAAUUAUCACAAAAUGUUCUUUUCUUAAAAAAGAAAAGAAAAUCAUAUAUAGUAGUUAAUUUUUCUUCUUCUGUACUCCAAGAUCCAACUCCGUACUCCACUUGUUCGUUGUUAUUAUACCCAGCCAUUAGAUUUUAAUUACGUUGAUUUAACGGUUUGGAUUCGUAAAUGAAUAACGACGUAAAGUUUGGCUACCAUCUGAACCCACCGCAUCUAAUUGGUUUUGUGAUUUUUUGCUUUCUUCACUGCAACGCUUGACUAGUUCUGGAAAUAUCGACCGCCAUCAACGGCAAAUCUGAACCAUGUAUUAUUUGCGAAUACAUUCAUUAAACUAUUAAACAUUCAGAGAAGAAAGCAAACCGUGGCAGUAUAACAAAAACUGCGAAUGGUCAUUCCCAACACGAACCCCUAUGGUUGUUUUCCUUUUAAUUUUCUUCUUUGAAUUCUCCUUUUAUUAAUCAUUAGAAAAACUCCAUUUUUUUUGUUUUAAAUCAUGUGUUAUUAACAUUUACAUGGUUAAUGUCAUCGAAAUCGAAUGGUUGUUAUCUACGAAAAGAGAAUUGCUAGAAAUUUUGUUAGUCCCAUUGCAACAAUAUAUUGUUAUAAAUUGCAUUGUUUUCCAUAUAACAAAUAUAAUAAAAUCUCAAUAAAUUAAUAGUUUUUGGGACCAUAAAAAAAUUAUUAAAAUUAAACAAAUAUCAAUUAAUCAGUAAAUUAAUAAAUUAUUAAUUUAUGAAAAUAUUCAUUAUUUUGGAAAAACAUGAUCACGCUUUUAAUAUUGAUUUACCUUGAGUUAGUAUCUAUUAGGUUUUAUUUGUCUAUUAGUUUUCUCUUGGGAAGAUUUUUUAAGAGUUAGCUGCUUUAUAUUAACAGUAAUAAAAUUAUUAUUUAACGGUUUUGUUUUUCCAUGCUAAAGACCGAUUAGUCGUCUUCUUCUCCUCAGCAUCAUCAAAACCAGGGUUUUUAACUCCUAAAACGUUUCUUUUUAGAAAUAUAUUACUUUAUUCAUCUAAUAUGUUAUCUAACAAAUAGACACAGAUGAAAUCACUCUAAAGUGAAGAUGAAAGGGGAAAAAAAACAUUCCAACCACCAAUAAUUUAGCAAGCUUCACUUUUAUUCCACCAAAGUGUAAAUAGUGCCAGCCCCCACCACCAUCAAUAAUUUAGCAAGCUUCACACGCUUGUUGUCUUCUCCUUGACGAACUGGACGUGGGUGGACCAAGAAUCAAUGAAAGAAUUUUAAAAAUAAUAAUAAAAGAAAAACAUAAACAUUUUGGACUCGGAGUAGAACCGUAAUUAAUGCUAAAAUUUACUCCGCUAACGUUUUCAAAAUAUUGUUCUUUAUAAUUGUACAGCAAAUAAGACUAAGUUUUGGACAUUUUCAUAUUCACUUACUUUCAAAAGCAGUAUUUCGAAACAUUUUACAGAAUCAAGUAACAGUUAUAUAACGAGAAAAGUGCAAAGUUGUGUAAUUCUAAUGUUUUUUUUUUUUUAUCACAGACACUCAGAUAAUUUUUUAUUUGGGUCGCCAACUCGCCAAUUAACCCAUGAUUGAAUGAGUGUUUAGAAAGAAAAUCAAUAAAAAACAGUUUUUUUUUUGGUCGUCGAAAUAUAGUAAGUGAGAAAGAUUAUUCUGUUUUUUUUGUUAAUUAGGUUAGUAAUUAUGAUUGAGUGACUCAGAACUAUAUUCUAGAUUGAGAAUCAACGGUUCUCCCACACUGAGAGGCUGUAAGUUUAAGAUUGUCGUUUGCUAUUUCAUCGACAAGAGAACACUUGAAUUUAUUAAAAGGAGAAGGCCAUAAAGAUUUUCCUUUAUGAGAAAUGUAUCUGAUCAUUCCUUUUUACUUGAAAAUUUCAUAUAUAAAAACUCAUUAAUAAAUGACAGAAUAUACAUAAAUUAUUAAUUCAUUUGAUAGUUGAUUAUCGAAGGACAUGUGACCCAUGGAAGCAUGCAGUCUAUAAAAUAAUUCUUUUUUUUUUUUAACAAAAAAUUGGUGAUGUUGAAAAGCAAAAUUAUUAUUUCUCUAAUUAGGGUGAACAUUCAUAAAAAGAAUGCCGUAUGAAACUAAAUUAUUAAUUCGUUUGACAUGUGACCCACAAUAAAUAGUUAAAUUUGGCGGCAACAAUAAUUACAAGACGAACUUAAAGCAGCGCAUAGGUUUUUCUUAAAAAUACAUAAACAAUUCGAUAUUUUUUAUUUGACAGUUUUUAAGAAAUGUCAAACAUAUAUGACAUUUUGUGAAAAACUGAGUAAUUGUGAAAUAUAAAUGAUAAUUUAUUUAAACGUCAAAUAAUUGUGACGUUUUAUCAAAUAAGUGAUAAAUAUCUUACAUAUUUAUUGAAUAAUUAUCAUUUACCUUUUCCUUUUAUUGACUCGAGCAAAAAAAACAAAAAAACUGACUAUACUGCUUUUAUUUUCGUUCUUAGAACAGAUUUUAGUUUCUUUUGAGAAAAUUCAAACUCAUUCCCAUUACUUUCUUUUCAAUAAUCACCUCUCAGUUUUUCAUCAAUCACUCAAUUCCGAAUUUCAUCUCCAUUCUCUUUUGAAGAAGAACGCACGAAGAAUUUUAGCUUGCUUUUGCUGCUUCUCGAAUAUUGGGUAUUGUUUCCUUUAAUUUAGAUAAUUGUUUUUUAUAUCUCUCUUUCUAGUUUGAUAAUUUAUGGUUAUACUUGAAUUAAUUGUAUUUUUAAUCAACCAAGGUUGAUUUAAUUGAUUCCAAGUCUCAAUUUCCUGUUCAACAAUUUUCAUACUCAAUUUUGAAAGAAUCAAUGUAUUUUAUCUUUGGUUAGUACACUUCUGUUCAAUUUUUGUUUAUUUAACUUAAGAUAUCUUUUUCUUUCUUUUCUUCAAGCAAAUUAUAGAUUAUAUUGAGAACAGAGUUUUCUCCUUAAUUCCGCCAAGAGCAACGUUGAUUUCAGGUGAUAAUUGAAUGUGUAAUAUUUUCAAUUGAAAUUAAUUGAGUCUCGUGAUAAUAAUAGGGAUUUGAGAUUUACAUCCUGUUGAAAUGAUUUUAGAGUGUUCUGUUAUUUGAAUGCGCAUUAAUUGUUUGAUUAAAUGUCUCUUUAAAAGAUUAUUUUUGUUUUUAGCAAACAUCUUAAUGCACUUUACAAAUUGAAUCCAACAAGGGAAAAUUAUAGAACUGCAGCAGUUUUCAAAUUGAUUGCAUAUUAGAAGUAAUGUUAAUUUAUGCUGCAACAGUUCAAUGGGCUGGGCACAAGUUUAGGACUUCAGUUGCUCAAUUAAUGAAUCCACCACUCAUCAGACUUGGAACUUAUAUCUAUUGAAUCAAUAAAAAUAGUUGAUGGAAUCAAUGCCGAAAGCUUCAUUUGAUAUUUAUUUAUAACAUCUGUUAGAUUCUGGACAAUCACAAAGAUAUAGUAGCAGAAACUAUGUUAGAGACACUAUAGUUGCUUAAUUAGUGAAAUUGUGCUCUCAUUGCCCCCUUUUUUUGGUUGAUUCUAUAAUUUUAUUAGUUGUUCUUGUGGUUGUAAACAAUAUCAAUUUCUAAUAUUAAUAAAACUGAAUGAAUAAAAUGCGAUGCAUUUGCAGGAAAGUUAAUAGUUUAAAUAUGGAUAAAUCUUGGAUGUUGAUGGAUAGAAGGUCUAUAGAAUAUGAGAACAUGGUAAAUGAGUUUCUCAAGUUUGCAGUACUUCAUGCUAGUCAUCUUGAGCUUUUGAGAUGUCCAUGCCAAGCAUGUCUUAGUUUAUAGGCUCAAACAAUUAACAGUAUAGAAAAUGCAUGAUAGAACACAGAACUCAUAUUUUAGCAACAAUCCUCAGCUCACUGGCCCUUAGUUCAGAAUGACAAUUCUUAUUAGCCAAAGGUUCAAAAUGAUUUUUAGUUGUUUAUAAGUAGAGAACUAGAUCAACAAAUAAUUGAAGACCUGCAGCUUGGCUAUUGAACUAUACGAUGAUGCCAAUUCGAAGACUACAACUUGGCUCUGCCAUUCGAAGUAAGCAACGCAGCUGCCCAAAGUCUGCCAAACCAAGAAAAAUAAAGACUUCUCCUUAGCAAUUAAGUUAAUAUAAGGAAUGUUGCAUGUCCACAAAACUAGGUAGACGCAACUGGGACUUCAAUAUAUAUAUAGAUAUAUAUAUAUAUAUAUAAGCAUUUCCUAGAUCAAUAUUAUUCUCAGUAACUGAAUAUUGAAGCUGACCAUCACAUUUAAUAAUAAAUCAAUAUCAGGAAUGUUGUUGAGGAGUAUUUUGAUAUUUACAAAAGUGUUCAAAGUAAAAAUUGAUUUCUUAAAACCCAUUAGCUAGCGCACAUAAUAAUGGGGAGAAAAUUUUAGACUACGAAUAGUCCCACCCAUUUAAUAAUAUUCUUCAAUCAAUUAUGUUUACUUCAAAAAAAAAAAACCAUCUCUUUAUUACUUUCUAACUAUUCAUAUUAAUGUGUUCAUAAUUAUGAAGAACCGGUGUAAUUUAUAUGAUGUAGGAAGCACAUUAGUCAAAAUCAUCAGAAUCUCAAAAUUUCGUGAUGUUGUGCCAAAUAUGCAAACCAAAGCUUCCUACAUUCUUUGUACGUUUGUGUUAGUUACAAGCAAUCACAGUGGUAAACGAAAAAAAACGAAUUAAAACACAUGAGGAGAUUUAAAUGAAAAUGUCUUAAUCAUAUAUCGCAUGUAAGACCUUUUGUACUCAAAACUGAUCAGCACCCAUUCUGCCCGCCGUGUGAUCACAUCUUGAAGGGAGUGUUGCUUCAGCAUUUUUAUCAUUUUUACUAUUUCUAGGAUCCAUUUUGUCACCUCCCUCCCUCCCCCCGGUUUCUAAAAUAAUUAUAUAAUAACCAUAUAAUUAUUGGUUGUUCUAGCAAAUAAAAAAAAUAUAUAUAUAUAUAUAUAUAUUAAUCUUUUAAUAACAUUAUCACUUUGUCAAAAUAAAAAAUCUCCUCAUUAAAUAAUUAUAUUAUAUAUAUUCAUUUAUUUAUCCAAAUAAAAAAGUAUGAAGUCAAAUAGUACACAAUAAUUUAACUAAUUUGAAUUGGUUUAUUUUUAAUGAAACAAAUAACAUUCCUAAAUGCUUCUCUUGAUCCUUAAUUUAUUGAUAAUUUUGUCAAUUUAAGGUCGGCUAUAUAUUGAUUAAAUUACAAGCUUAGACUAUCGAAAGCUGGUUACAGUUAUGGAGGCAGGAAAAAUUUUAUUGUACCAGAAAUUUUUUCUACAACAGUCCAUGCAAAGUAAACAUUUGUAAGGAAAUUGGAGAAUAAUUACAAAGCCAACUAAAUUUUAUGAGAAUCAAUUUGGAGUUUUUGUUAAUCGCCAUUUUGCGUUCAUACAAAGCAAGUGUAGAUACCGGCACAAUAAGCUAAAUGCAAAAUCCAAUGUAGGACAGUGGGGUUGGGACAACGAAAUGGGGAAAUGGGAAUCUAGGUAAUUGCACUGAACCUUAAACUGAGAGUACGGGCACUUAAAAUUUUUAAAGUGUCUAAUAAGUUUCAGCUAAAAAGGAAAUAGGCUGUAAAAUUGCUAAAUUCAUUUUGAUUUCUAAAUUCAUAAAUAACCUUAAAAGUUCUCUGAUACAACUUGUCAAUAAUGGUGAAAAUUCAAUUUCAGAAUGACAAUUCUUAUUAGUGAAAGAAUCAAAAUGAUUUUUAGUUGUUUAUAAAUAGAUCACUAGAUCAACAAAUAAUUGAAGACUGGCUUGGCUAUUGAACCAUACGCGGCAAUUCGAAGACUGAAACUUAACUCUGCCGUUCGAAGUAAGCAACUCAGGUGCCCAAAGGCUGUCAAGCCAUCAAGACAAUACGAAGAUACAACAUCAAUAAUAAUUACAUAUUACACCUACCCCAAUAAGAAAUUAGUUAAUACAGUCCUAGAAAGAAAUUUACAAACCCAUGCUGUAGGAAUAAUUAAUUAAUUUAUACAGUUCGGUACUCAUUCCUCUUCUGUUUCAAAUCCAUAUCCACUGCUCUGCCAUUUAUUACUACGCAAGGUAUAUGGGUUAGCAAGUGCCGACAUUGUCCUCCAUUCUUUAUGUGCCUUUCUUCUAUCAAGGGACAACCCAAGAUCUCUAAUCGCAAGAAAAAUAUUUCAAAGUAAAAAGUGAUUUCUUAAAAUCUAUUAGCUAGUGCACAUAAUAAAAGGCCAUUCAUGGUAAAUUUUAGAUUACAAGUAGUCCCAAUAAUAUUCUGCAAUCAAUUCCGUUUAUUUUAAAAUAAAAGAAAUCCAUCUCUUUAUUACUUUCUAAUUAGUCAUAUUAAUGUGUUAAUAAUUGUGAAGAACCAGCGUAAUUUAUAUGAUGUAGGAAACCCGUUAGGCAAAAUAACCUGAAUUUUUUAAAGUAGGGGCUAGACAUAUUGGGCAUAACCUCAGUUUCUGUUACUUCUUUGACCCUGCCUAAGCUCUUUUAUGGGCUAAUAUCAAAAUUUCGUGAUAUUGUGCCUAAAGAGCUUCCAAUUCAAGGAGCUCCCCUGUUUUUGACUGAAACAUAUGUAAUCCGAAAAAUUUAUAAUUAGAUAAAUCAUUCAAAAUCUCCCUGAAUCUAACCCACAUUUCUAUGGUUUAAUAACAUAUCACAAAGGUGCCUAAUAUAAUGAAAUUAGCACUAGUUCACGAGAUUGCCAUUAUAUAUUACAAGUCUUUUUAUGAUGUAGAUUAGAAGGGAAAAUACGAAGGACAUAUUAUAUAUUAUAUAUGAUUGAAUUUAAUCCAUGAUAAUUAGACAAAAUAACACUAAUCUAGCUAACUAAUCCACCCAUCAUAAUAAUUUGAUUUUCAUUAUUUUAUUGUGUCCAAUCAUGCUAAUUUAAUAAAAAAAAUACAGAACACUUGAGGAUUUAGAUAUUCAACAACUUUGGCCAAGUUUGAAAAAGAUUAGAGCUUCCUUCAUGCUUUGUGUUCUUAUGUUACACAUGAUCAUAUUAUGUUACAUUUGACAGAAAACUGAAAAUUAUUGAAAAAAAAAAAUCUUAGUUAGCACAUGAUCAAAAUGAGAGAUUAAUGCACACACAUCACAACAAUGUUUCAUUCAUUUUGAAUCUAUAUUUACAAAACUUGUAUCCGAUGGUUUACAUUUGUUUAAUCUAACUGCUAUGACAUGUGUACUGUCAAAACGCUACAGCUGCCAUCUCUGUUUGUCCUUGUUGCAUCCUUGAUCUUAUAUUAUCCUGGAGAUUAUUGAAUGUUCUUCUCAUUCUCAUGUGCUCGAGGGUCCUUUCUUGAGACAUUUCAGCAAACACCUGAUUCAUCCUAUUAAACAUUAGCAUCAUUAAUCAGUAAAUGAUGUAAGGUAGCCCUGUUUCGUGAAGUCAACAUAAAUCAGUCACCUUAGAUUUUCUGAGUCUCAGAGCACAAUGGGUGAUGAUUUGAUGAGAAAUAUUAAUAUGCCUUCAUCCCCUGAAUUAGCUAGAGCUGGUUGUCAUUUUCUUCUUUCUUUUGGUACGGUUUUAGAUUUUUAAUCAAUCAGAUUCAGCUGCAUGUUUGCUUUUAGUCCAAACCAAAAUAAGAUAUUAAGUACUUUUGCCAGAAUAGACGCAACCAAAAUUCUAUGGGAUCUGUAGUUCCUAGUUCAUGCAGAAGCGACCGAAUGCUUCCUGCAACUCAGGCAGAUAGAACCUUGGUUGAUUCGUUUUUCUUCAUCUGAAAUUCUACCUAAUGCCUAUCCUCUUAAUUGGUUUAAAUUCUUCUUUUUUUUCUUUGAAUUGUUGAUUUAUAAUGUCUUGUAUGCAACAUUUAUAAUUUCGGAUGAUGAUAAUCUUGUUUAAGAAGAGAUUUCUAGUUACGGCAGCAGCGUUCUUGAUCAUGGCAUCACAAGCACGUGCUCUGGUUUGCUUAGUUUCCUUUUUGUCUCUGAUAUUUUCUUGGCAUUGUGGGAUAUUGUUUCUCUUUUGAUUUUCUGUUUUUGUUUGCUUAGUUUCCUUUUUAUGUCUGAUAUUUUCUUGGCAUUCUUGUUCUCUCUUAUAAUAAAGUGCUUUUGAUAAAUUCGCCUGGUCGGUUUACUUCACUAACCAUUAAUGAGCAAAUCCUCCCAGUGACUCUCAAACUCUUCUACACAAUUAUAAUAAUUUCAGUUUUACAUAUACAAAAAUGAACAGCUCUCAAACAUAUCAUUUGAUAAUGACAAAAACAAUAAUUCACUCCAAUAAAUCUCAUAAUAAAUACAUGAUCUACAUUGCAAGUCUUUUUAGGACGCAUUCAAAGAGAAAACAUAAGGAAUGGCAAUGCAAGAAUAUGGAAUCAGAAUAACAGUGAUACAAAGAGAAAAAAAAAGGGGAUGGUCGGGUUGGGUUGCUUGCAAAAUUAUUGGUGCGGGGGUCUACUUGUUUUUGUGUCACUUUAUUAAUUAAUUACCGAAGCAAACACGUCAUCAUUUGAAAAAGAAUCACUAGCACCAGCUUAUGAAAAAUAAAUUUGUAAGACAUAUUAAUUUGAAAAUAUUUUGGAAUUUCAGUCUAAGUUGAUUUGUCUAAUUAUGUAUGCACAAACUAGCUUGACCACUUCUUUCAUAUUGAUACCUAUAAAUUGCAACCUUAUUUUACGUUGAUGCACAAUCUAACUUAACAAAAAAAAUAUUCAAAUUGUCACAAAAUAUUUUCUUCUUAAUAUAUAUAUAUAUAUAUAUACAUACACACAGUAGUUAAUUUUCCUUAUUCUUCACUCCAGGAUCCAGCUGCAUACCCCUCUUUUUUGUCGUUAUGUUGCUCAACCGUUAGAUUUUAAUAACGUUAAUCUAACGGUUGAGAUUUGUAAAUGAAUAAUGAAGUGGUGUUUGGCUACUAUCUGAAAAUAUCGGCAGCCAUCGACGGCGAAUCUGAACAAAGGCAACAGGAGGUGAUCGUGGUGAAAUUGUUUUUUGGCAUGCGAAUCUAACGACUUUCAAAUACGUUCAUUCAAAUAUUAAAUGCAAUUCAGGCAAAUAGAAACUUGGUUGAUUGAUUGCUUUUCAUGUGAAAUUCUACCUAAGGGCUAUCCUUUUAAUGGUUUGUACUGUCUUAUAUGCAAAUUAAAUUCGGAAUUCGGGUGAUAAUAAUCUUGAUUUAGAACAGAUUAGGUAACAUGUGGCAUUCUACAUUCUUGCAAUGCCAUUUCUUUUUAUGGCAGCACCAUUUUUUAUCAUUGUUUGUGUGGACCUAUUUGCUGAAUUCAAAACUUGGCGUGUUAAAACGGCAUCGUUUUGUCCAUUAAGAUGUUUCAAGUUGUCCCCGGCUGGACAUAUGACUCACUUAAUGAUACCAAAACGGCGAGGCAUGAAGGUGUUUCGGCUAAGGGCUUAAGUUCUGCAUGUGACAAGCACGUGAGAGAAGAAUCAAGUUAGUUAUAAGUUGUUAUACACGUGGCUGGAUCUGGUGCAAUCUGGGGUAAUGAACAGCCGUUAUAUAAGCUGAGCUUUCAGGCAGUUUCAGCAAGAUGUAAAGAGCUUCUAGAGAGAAUGAAGAGAGAGAAAAUGUAUCAUCUUAUUCCUUGUUAGUUUCUCCGUGUGAGCUCUGUAAAAUACUUUGAUUCAUAAAUAAAACUCAUUUUAGUCGAUUCUCCCUUGGAUGUAUGUUCUGCCUCAUUGCACAGCCGAACCACGUAAACAGUGCUGGUUUCUUUUUUUUUCAUUUGUGUCUAUCACUAAAAAGCAGAGCACUUGCUUGAUUGAAUAAUGUCAUAUUACAUCACAUAAACUCUCUCAAUUAUUGAAAAAGAAAAUCGUAAAAGAGAUGUGUUGAAUUGAUAACUGAAAAAAUCUUAAAAAAUCUUCAAAGUUUUCAAUUAUUGAUAACUGAAAAUUAUUGAAAAAAAAAAUCUUAAAAGAGAUGUGUUGAAUUGUGAAAUUAAAACUGAGUUUCAGACAUUUCUGACAUGUCGGUUUAUAUUCUUGAUUGUGCAUGCCCUGUCGGUUGCUUGAUGAAACAGGAGAAUAUUGACAUCUGUGUAUUAUCGUUUACUUCCUGCAAUUAAAUCACAUGUUGUUCACGUGAUUCCAUUUGCUCUAUGCGGCACAUUUGGCAGUCGUUUAGGUCACUUACUGAAGCACGGGUUAAGUACUUGAUUCAAGGUUGUUAACUGACCUUUACAAGGCGGGAAAAACAAACCCGGAAUGCAGCUAGUGAGUGGGGGACUUUUCUAGACUCUUCAUGAUAUGUAUAUAUAGUCUUAGAGGCUAUAGUUGAGACAUAUGAAAAGCUUGUAACUUCUUCUUAAUGUUUGUAGUUUGAUCUCGGUGAUGGAGAUAAGAUUGCUGCCCUGUUCUCCAGGCCGAACCACUUAAAAUGUGCCUCUGUUUUGCUUGAUGACUACCAGUGGUGAGAAAACAGCUACAGAACAAAUCAAGCUUGAUGACUCAAAUAUUAGGGAAGCCAUAGUCAAGGCAUCUGGUUUAUGCAUCAACAGUGGUUCGUGGACUAGAAUUCUUAGCUAUUGCCGCUUCACAAUUGCACUGGAAGAAAGCGAAUUUGAUCGAGCUUUGGAUCGCAUAGCUAAAUUCAAAAGCAUCGUACAAAUAGUUAACUCAAAAACGGUAUUGUCAUUUGUCAUGAUUUAUUUCUAUUGCCUGAUGAUGAUACCCAUCACGCCUUAGUUGUCGUGAAUAAAUCUAAAAUCAAAUUGAACUGGCUUUUACUGGUUAGCAACAUUUGUGACGUUUUGAGAUUAUAAUAUAUGACAACACUGAUUAGUGUUGUCUCCCAUGUGAAUUGAGACAAAAAUUAUUUUCCCAAUUGCGCUUUCAUUUGAACAAUUCCACUGUAGAUUUAUAAAAUAAUGAUCAAAUUGUGUUUUAUAUUAAGUUACGAGUAAUUGGUUAAAUAUUAAUACAAAACUAUUUUAAGUAACAUGUGGCAUAUUCUAAUUCUAGCCAAGCUUCCAACUAAGAUUCCCAAAUCAAAAGAAUUUCAAUCUUCAGAACAUUCUGCAAAACGUUUAGUUUCUACGCAGUGCUAGAAUUUUCCCUAAGUUUCUAUCGCAAAGACUUCUAAAGAACUAUUCAGAUAUCGAGCUAUAAUCCAGUCUAAAGUGUAUAUAUCCCUCUAAUUCACCUCCCUCCAUUUCACCAGAAAAUCAACAAACACUUAGCUUCAAACAAACACUCUAAAAAAGCUAGCUAGCUAUUCAGAUGGCAAAACCAAGAAUUCUUGCAAUGACAAUGUUGUUUCUUGUUAUGGCAGCAACAUUGAUGAACAUGGCAUCGCAAGCAAACGCUCUGAUGUCGUACACACAAUCACCUUUCAGGGUUCUUGAACAAACCCCUUUAACAAUCGCAAAACGAGCUGAUCAUCAUCAAACUCUAGCCCCGGCGAGAACAGACUAGAUGGAGACACCAACAGCCCACGUGAUCACGCUCGACAUUCCAGGGAUGAAGAAAGAUAAUGUAAAGAUUGAAGUUGAAGAGAACAGAGUACUGAGAGUGAGUGGGGAGAGGAAGAGUAAUGAUUAUUACAAGGAGGGAGUUGAAGGAGAGAAAUGGCACAGAGCUGAGAGGACAUUUGGCAAGUUUUGGAGGCAGUUUAGGAUGCAUAUGAGUGCUGACUUGGAUCAUAUUAAGGCUCACAUGGAAAAUGGGAUUCUGAGGGUCACAGUGCCAACGCUUGCUGAGGAGAAGAAGAGGCAGCCUAAGGUUAUUAACAUUGAUGAAGAGUCUGGUAAUUCUUCCAAUGAAGAUAUUAAGGCUACCAAGGCUCAAAUGUAAUUGAUUAAAGAAAGAAGUGAUUGCUUUGCUUGAUGUGCUAUUUGUUUAUGAUCUUUUCUUGGUUUUGUUGUGAGAUGUUUCUAUUUGGAUGCUCUAUUUAAUGUAUUUUGAUGGGUUUUUGAGGAAGGCUUGUAUGUAUUGACAACAAUAAAGUGCUUUUUAUAAAUCCUAGUCCUCCAACACUAAAAGAAAUUAAUACGCUUGGUUUAUAGUUAAUAAAAAUAUAUAUAUUUUUAAAAAAAGUCUUUUUCUUUGGCAUAUAGUAUGCGUUUUGAGGGAAAAAAAAUUAUCCCACUCCUAAUUCGUCCUCUUCUGCGAUAUUAAUGUGUUAACACGAAGAUUCAUUGUAAUUGCAACAAUUUUGACGAAUCCAAACGUUCAAUAACUGUUAAAUUGUAUUUAUAAAUACUAAUAGCGAAGGUACAGAAACGAUUAAUUCACGAAGUUGCUUAAAGUGCAUUAAAUUAGAGAGUAUAAAUAAUUGUGUGAUACAGUCCAGCCUUCAUCUGCUUAUAAUUAGCAACCAAAAACCACUUUGCAACACCAUUAAAAAAACAUUUUAACAUUAUUGCUGAGGGAAGAGGCAGCUUAGGCUUAUUAACUCGUAUUAUUAAUGCUGAUGACGCAGCUGGUAAUCCUUUUGGUGAAUAUAUUAAGGCAGCUGAAGCUUAAAAUUAAUUAAGCCCACUAAAGCUUAAAACUAAUUCUUCUGGUGACGAUACUUUGCUUAGUUCGCUUUUUGUUUUUAAUUUUUUUGGGGCUAACGUUUUGCUUAUUUUGCUUUUAAAAUUCUAUUCGCGUUGCUGUGGAAUAUUGUUUCUCCUUCGAUUUUCUGUUUUUGUUGUUAUCGGAUUUGAUGAUGGUUUAUAUGUACGAAGAUUAUGUAAUAAAGUGCUUUUGUAAAAAUACUAAGGUAAUAUACAUUACACAUUUGUACUCAAUAAGAAAUCAAUUCAUUAAUAUAAGCAUUAAUACCCCUGGUUUAUUGUUAAUGAAAAUUAAAAAAGAAAAAAAAAAGUCUUUUUCUUUGGCCUUUAUUAUGGAUUUUAAGAGGAAAAAAAUUUAUCCCACUCCAAUUCAUGAAGAUAUUCUCUUUUCUGUCAUAAAGAUCCAUUGCAGUUGGUGAAUUCAAAUAUUCAGUAACUGAUGAAAUUGUAUUUAUAAAUUCAUACUAAUAGCAAUUGAAGAUUAUAAUUAAUUUUGUAAUAUGAUCUAGCCCUCGUGUGUUUAAUUAGCACUCAAAAACCACUUUACAUAAAUGAGGUUUCAACAGCUGAGAAAGAGAUAGCCAUUAUACAUUACACAUUUGCACUUAAUAAGAAAUCAAUUCAUUAAUAUAGCCAUUAAUACGCCUGGUUUAUUGUUAAUGAAAAUUAAAAGAGAAAAAAAAAGGUCUUUUUCUUUGGCCUUUAUUAUGCAUUUUAAGAGGAAAAAAAUUUAUCCCACUCCAAUUCAUGAAGAUAUUCUCGUUUCUGUCAUAUUGAUGUGUUAAUAUGAAGAUCCAUUGCAGUUGGUGAAUUCAAAUAUUCAGUAACUGAUGAAAUGGUAUUUAUUUAUAAAUUCAUACUAAUAGCGAUUGAAGAUUAUAAUUAAUUUUGUAAUAUGGUCAAGCCCUCGUGUGUUUAAUUAGCACUCAAAAACCGCAUUACAAUAGGCAUUAAAAGAACAUUAUAACGUCAUUGCUGAUGAGUUCUGGUGAAGAUAUUAAGUUAAGGCCACAAAAAUCGAAAUGUACGUAGCUUCGUUUGUUUUUUGUUUUUGAUUUUUUUUGGGGGGCAAAUGCUUGGCUUCGUUUGCUUUUUCGUUUUUGAUAUUUUAUUGGCUUUAUUGUGUGGCAUGUUCUUGUUUUCUUUUGAUUUUCUGUUUUGGUUGUUAUGGGAUUUGAUGACGAUGUACAUGUACAAAGAUUAUGUAAUAAAAUGCUUUUGAUAAAUUGUGGAACAAAAGAAGAACACUAACGAACUAAUUAAUUACUAAUAAGAACAUUAACAAUUUUUGCCGAAGUCUGAUGAAGAGAAAUAUUACACAUAAGUAACGGUACCGCGGAAGGAAAAAAUAAAAGAAACUAAAGUUUAUUUCAACAGCUAAGAAUGAAAUAGGCAUAAGAAAUUAACCCAUCAAUUAAUUAAUUAAUACAGUCCCCUGCUACUAAAUAAUGCGAGCCCCUUACUGUACUUAACAUUUUUCUUUUUAAUAAUUUAAAACAGUUUUCAACUGAGAUUUGAAUUUUAAAACUACAUACACAAAUACACCUGAUUUUAAAGAAAAAAAAUUUCUAAUAAUAAAAUAUUUUACAUAUAUAACCAUAUGGCGAAAAAAUAAAUAUAAGAAACUGAAGUUUCAACAACUGAGAAUGAGAUAGGCAUAAGAAAUUAAUUCAUUAAUUAAUUAAUAGAGUCCUCCUUUGCUAAGCUAAAUAAUGCGAGCCCAUUGUUCUUUUUAUUUCGAAAACCCAUUAAUCACCAACACAUAAUACACGCCCAACUUUUUUUUUAAAAAAAACCUAAUAAUAAAAUAUUUCAGUCGUCCUCUGUUGAGUCGUCCUCUGUUGAGUCGUCAUAAAAAACCCAUUUACCAGCUAUGACAGCAAGAGGAAUAUGGGUUAACAAGUCCCAAUAUUGUCCUCCAUCCUUUCUGCACUUCUUUUCUAUCAACGGACAAUCCACGAUUCUUAAUUGCAAAAGUGAGGAAGGCAGGCCCUUCUCCGGAAAGUAUUUGAGCUUGGGACAAUGAUAGAGACCCAAGUGAGUGAGGUUUUGAAGAUCAACAAUUGAAGAAGAUAGGCGUUCCAGAUUUGGAAAAUUGUAAAUCCACAGAGAUGUUAGAGAGGCAGGAAGAGGAAGCGCGGUCCCUAAUCUUUUGUCCUCUAGUGGAAAUGACACCAUGUCGUCAUCGCAUCCUAUGAUUUCAAGAUGUCGCAGACAGGAGAAUCUGUGAAAUCCCCGGCCCCGCUCAAUCAUUGACUUCCAAAUCUCCAUAUUACCCUCAAUCCAAAGUGAAUGAAGGUUGAUGGGAAGGCCAUCUUCUUCUUCAAGGCUUGGAAGCUCACCUCCUUUUCCUAUUGUUAAUUGUUGAAGAGAGGUCAGAUUGUGCAAUCCCUUGGGUAAGGCCUCUAGUCUCUUACAAUCAAGUAUCGUCAGCCUCGUGAGUUUCGCACAAGGGAAUGCCCCUUGGGGAAAGGACACUAGAUUUCCACAAUACGCUAUGCUAAUCUCUUGAAGCUGGCGGAGAUUAUGUAAACCACUCGGUAAAAUUUUCAGAUUUCCACAAUUAGAAAUGUCGAUUGUUUCAAGAGAUGUGUUGUUGUCCAACCUUUCUGCUAUUGACUCCAGCUUUGAACAUCCGCGAACAGAAAGGGACUUAAGAGACGGAGGUAGAUUGCCAACUUCAAGGGACUCAAGCGUGGCAGGUAACUCAUUUUUUGAAAAUAUACAUGUCAGUGAUGGACAGCUGUUAAUACGCAACUGCUCAAGAAGAGAUGAGGUGUACCUUCUAUUGCUGCUGCUGCUGCUACACUGGAUGCCCUCUUCCACUGUCAAAGUCCUUAUAUUACUGCAAUUGUUAAUCACCAACUGCUUAAGGCUCGGUGGUAGCUGGACUCCAGCAAUAUAUGUCAACGAAUGGCAAAAGCAAAUCUCCAAGAUCUCGAGAGAUGAAUUGGUGUCGCACAUCCAUGCCUCUGGUAAUGAUUUCAGUGCAUCACAUUCCCUAAUCUCAAUUGUCUUCAACUUGGAAGGCAGAGCAACCUCAGGAAAGGAAACAAGGGAACUGCACUUGUAGAUUUCUAUCUCUCUCAAGGAACUGAGACUGAGAGAUGAUUGUGGCAGCUUCACAAGGCCUUCGCAAUAUCUCAAUCUUAGAUAUUCGAGUCUGCAUGACAACUCGCAGAGCUGCUGUUGUUGGCCUUUCUCUUCCUCCGCCACCAAGGAUUGAAGUUUGGGACACCGUCUAAUCGUCAGUCUUCUGAGAGAGCAAAUGUCUUGCAGUAAUUCGUUAUGACUCUUCCAUAUAUAUGUCUGCUCUUUCAUUUCAUUUAUCUUCAAUUCUUCCAAUUUUGGUAGUCGCGGCUUUAAUGGCCCUGCGAGAAACACUUGAUUUGAUCUAUCUCUACAAACCACUGAAUUCUGUGAGCCGAGAUGAUCAGUUGCACUUCUCCACACAACCUUUUUACAUCCACCACUCUGUAAUUUGCAAAGAGCUGGAAGACUCGAAACUGAAACUGACAAUUCUUCACAUCCUUUAAUAACAAGCUUCUCCAAUGCAGGAAGGCGUUCUGGAAAUGUUCCUUGCAGCUUAGAACAUCUUAAAAUGUGAAGCUCUCUCAAUUUAGGAAACCGUUCAACUCCCUGACUGGAUCCAUGAGGAAUCCAGUCUUCCCAUCCUUGCAUGUCUUCAAAAUGAAGAGUCUCCAAGCAUGGAAAAGGAAUUGGAGUAUCAUUCCCAUAGAACUCUGAACCCAACCUCUUUACACUAGUCAUUCCACAUACUGCAAGAUGCUUUAGAGAGGGUAGUUGCCCGACUGACGGCAGGGUAGGACACAUGCCACAAUAUUCAAAUUUUAAGGUCACCAACUUUGAGAAUGAGGAAUCUCCGAACCAAGUUGGAAAUUUUGCACCUCUAUAGCCGCUGAUACAAAAUUGUUCCAAAUUUUUAUUGGGUUCUAGCAUGUCAAGCACGUCCUUUUCAAUUUCCGCCUCCCUUGAAGACGAGCCAUCGGUACUGAGUGUCCAUCGAAGCAAUAAUUCUCUAAGAUUCUUCUUUCCAUCCAAUUGAGCCUCCUUUGCAUCACCAACGUCUUUUACAUUCUCCAAUUUUGAAAUGUUAAGUGUCCCAUGAAGGUGCGUCAACAACUUUAGCUCUCGUAACCCGGAACCACUGCCUUUUCCCACAACAAAAUUACACAACGUCUGAAGACUAGUCAACCUACCAAUUCCUACUGGCAUUUCCUCCAACGACUUCGUAUUUGAAUUCUUAAGAUGAUGCAAUUUGGCGAGGUUUCCCAUGUCUGCACACAACUUCUUCAGCCGAUCACAAUCUUCCAACAAAAGACUAUGCAAAUUGUAAAGCUUGUUGACUGAUUCAGGCAGAGUUCUAAUCUCAGUUGUAGACAGGUUAAGGUACCUUAAAUACCUCAAAUCACCAAUUGAAUCCGGCAGCUCAGGGAUGCAGUAUCCACGCAAAGAGAAGACCCUCAAGCGUCGGAGUUUGAGCAACUUAGGAAGAAUGCUAGGAGCCAAGAAGCCAGGCGAACUUUUUGUCAACAUUACUGGUAAAAAAGUUCUCAAAUGCUGGAUAUCAUACAAGUCCCCAAACCUUUUACCGCCAUCAAAAUAUUCAGGAAUGUAUGAUAGAUGACGAAGAUUUUCGGAAAAACUUUGCUGCUUGUAAAUUUCUGAGGUAUACUCCAUUGUGAAGUAUAUCUCCCCCGCAGCCCAACGGGCAAGGUCAUUGAUAAGAUCGUGCAUCACAAAUCGUGAUGUAUUGUUGCUUAAUUGCUGGAAAAAAGAUCUUGAACGUAG